GGAGGCAAUAGACUGUGCACCAUGUCAGCCAGUGGCUUACCUAAGACCAUCUUGAUGCCAUCAGGCCCAUGAGAUGUUGUAUCUGUCGUGCACACUGUGUUGGACGCGUUCUGAAAACCUGGAUCAAAUUCUGGAUGGUUUGGACCCUUUUCUGAGGGGUUGUAUGAUGGCAGCUGGACUUUGAAGAAGUUGUGCAGUCGAUUACUAAUGAAUUGGGCACAGGGUGUUUGUGC